rnacentral:rRNA from 1 species
AGAGUUUGAUCCUGGCUCAGAAUGAACGUUGGCGGCGUGGAUUAGGCAUGCAAGUCGAGCGAGAACCCGCAAGGGGGACAGCGGCGAACGGGGUAGGACAACGUAGGUAACGUACCCCCGGGGCGAGGACAGCCACGGGAAACUGUGGGUAAUACUCGAUAAUGUUCCCAAUCUUGGUUGGAGGGGAACCAAUGGGUGUGAUUCCACCUGGGGAGCGGCUUACGCAGUAUCAGCUUGUUGGUGAGGUAACGGCUCACCAAGGCGAUGACGCUUAGGGGAUGUGAGAGCAUGAUCCCCACCACUGGCACUGAGACACUGGCCAGACACCUACGGGUGGCUGCAGUCGAGAAUCUUCGGCAAUGGACGCAAGUCUGACCGAGCGACGCCGCGUGCGGGAUGAAGGCCCUCGGGUUGUAAACCGCUGUCAGAGGGGAUGAAGUGUACGGGAGUUAUCUCCCGUAUUUGACAGAGCCUCAGAGGAAGCACGGGCUAAGUUCGUGCCAGCAGCCGCGGUAAUACGAACUGUGCGAACGUUAUUCGGAAUCACUGGGCUUAAAGGGUGCGUAGGCGGCUGCCUAAGUCAGGUGUGAAAUCUCCCGGCUCAACCGGGAAACUGCGCUUGAUACUGGGCGGCUCGAGUGAAGUAGGGGUGUGUGGAACUUCCGGUGGAGCGGUGAAAUGUGUAGAUAUCGGAAGGAACGCCA